rnacentral:lncRNA from 10 species
UUUUUUCCCUGAGUUCUGUAUUAUCCAAACUAAUGAUCUAAUUUUAAUGAUAAUACAAUGAUAAAUUAUCCAAGUAAAUGAAGGCAGAGAGGUGACUUAAUAAUUAAUUAAUUGUGUAAUACAUAAAAAUGGACUAUUCUUCCUCAUUGUGAUUCACUUUAUCACUCCCUGAAGCAAUACAAUCUUUCCGAAGAUGUAAACCAUGGUGCCAAACCAUGUCAUUGCCCAGUCUAGUUAUUAUCUCACUCUCAUUCUUCUUACAGCUUUGUUGGAAGAAAGUGUCCAUGUUGACCAGAGCCUUCAUUAUGGCCUUCUCUCCUCUCCUGGUUUCUAUGAUACUGCACUUUCUUGGAUUUCUUUCUAAAUCUCUGUAUGAGGCCUUGCCCGGCAAUACCUUCUCACAUCCAACUCUGGAAAAUACUUAGGCUCUGCGCUCAUGAUGUGGUUGGAUCUCUCGCUCUACUUCUUUGCCCAGUUAGCUCAGCACCAUCUAUAUGUCUCUUUUGUGAGGGCAGGUAAGUGGUCCUUAAAGCCACUCUUGCCACUAGAUUGCACGUUUGAAAUUGGAAAUUGAUCAUGGGGCUUUCCUUCUGAGCUUACCUGUGGACUAAAAAUAUUUUUCAAUCUGAGUCUCAAGGUAGACACAACUAGUUAAUUGGGGUUGAGAAAGAAGAAAAAACUGAGCUCCCAUUCUAGAUUAUUUUUGCACAGAAAAUUCUCAAAUUAUUAUCUCCAGUCACUUAUUCACAACUCUUCUCUCCUUGGAUGUAACUCUGUCUUUUCAAAUUUAAAAUGAAAACAUUUAAACAAUUAUUUUCCUUAUUAAACAUGUUUCCCUUUACAAAUACCCCACUUGUGUCUAAAUUAACAUGUUUUUUCCUCUCAGUUCCCAGGCCAAAAUCCUUGGUAUUAUUUGUUCAUGUUUCAUCCAAGUUAUAUACUCCAACUCUAUUCUUUUUACUCACUUUAAUAUGCCUUAAGGGUUCUUGAUUUACACUACCUCUUUCAUAGUCCUACUUCUUUAUUUGGAUUAUAAUAAGGGUCUCUACCCACAGUAUUUCUAGAUUUCUCCACCCCACAAAUUCAGCUAAGAGUGUGAAACCAUAAGCCCUUUGAUACAUCUACUUUAUAAAGUUAAAAAGAUUCUCAUUUUACAAAGUCCUCCCUGCUUUCUUUCCCUCCAUAGAAUGCUGGGAGGCAAAGCCUCUGCCUUCACCACAUCCAGAGUGACUUCUGGUAUUUAUUUCCAAUUUCCAGUCAUGGAUUAAACCAGAGAGAACAUGGGGACAGGCAAUGGUGUGAUUUGUUACCUAACACAGCUACUGAUCAAAGUCAGUAGGAGAAUUUAUGAGGUACUGCUACCCAGGAGCCCCUUUUCAGUGCACAAACUCAAACUAGUCUUUUAUACACAGGUGAGAUUCUUCCUCUUCAUGAAACUGUUCCUUACUGACAGCCCAAUUUCUUCCCUAACAUGGCUGAGAACUAUCCCUCAAGAUAAGGCUAACCCCAGGAUGUACUGUUCCACCUCAACUUUCUGUUGACUUCAUUUACAUAUUUUUAUUAUAAUUAUGUUCUCAAAAUAUAAAGAAUUGCCACAGCAAAUGAGAGUGAUGUACUAUCAAGUUUUGAACAAGAUUGUUAACUCACCUUGUCAGUUUCCCACUAUCUUCUUGGAUUCCCUGAAUCUCAGAAUAAAUAAUAAAAACUAUUUCAUAGUUC